AUCAUGAAACUUCAUAGGUACAUUGAUCAUGACUGGCAGAUGACCCCUAUUGAUUUUGAGGUCACUCUGUCAAAGGUCAAGGUCACGGUGACCCGAAAUAGUAAAAUGGUUUCCGGAUGAUAACUCAAGAACGCUUAUGCCUAGGAUCAUGAAACUUGAUAGGUAGAUUGAUCAUGACUCGCAGAUGACCCCUAUUGAUUUUCAGGUCACUAGGUCAAAGGUCAAGGUCACGGUGACCCGAAAUAGUAAAAUGGUUUCCGGAUGAUAACUCAAGAACGCUUAUGCCUAGGAUCAUGAAACUUGAUAGGUAGAUUGACCAUGACUCGCAGAUGACCCCUAUUGAUUUUCAGGUCACUAGGUCAAAGGUCACGGUGACCCGAAAUUGUAAAAUGGUUUCCGGAUGAUAACUCAAGAACGCUUAUGCCUAGGAUCAUGAAACUUCAUAGGUACAUUGAUCAUGACUGGCAGAUGACCCCUAUUGAUUUUCAGGUCAAAGGACAAGGUCACAGUGAUCCGAAAUAGUAAAAUGGUUUCUGGAUGAUAACUCAAGAAUGCUUAUGUCUAGGAUCAUGAAACUUGAUAGGUAGAUUGAUCAUGACUCGCAGAUGACCCCUAUUGAUUUUGAGGUCACUCUGUCAAAGGUCAAGGUCACGGUGACCCGAAAUAGUAAAAUGGUUUCCGGAUGAUAACUCAAGAACGCUUAUGCCUAGGAUCAUGAAACUUGAUAGGUACAUUGAUCAUGACUGGCAGAUGACCCCUAUUGAUUUUCAGGUCACUAGGUCAAAGGUCAAGGUCACAGUGACAAAAAACAUAUUUACAAAAUGGCUGUCACUACAACUGAGAGCCCAUAUGGGGGGCAUGCAUGUUUUACAAACAGCCCUUGUUGUUAU